CUGACACUACUAAAUUGGGGAUGAAAGUAUUAUAAUCUCAAUGCCAAGAAAAUAUUUAUGAAAGAACAAUUAUACAUGUCAAAAUACAAAACACAUCAUCAGGGGCAAGCAAAUGGUUUUUUAUUAUGUUUCUGGUGUUCUGAUCAUUCACUCGUUGAGCUCAUCAAUUGGAAUGACUUAACCAGUAUACACGAGGCAAGUACCUAGUCCGAUAUCCCAACUCCAGUCGUGCUUAUCGUUGGUUUAUACCAUGUGAGAAGCCUGUCCAAACACAACCACUAUACCAGCUUCAUUGUUAUGAAGCUAGAGCGUUCAACUUCUUCUCAAACAUCUUAGCCCGCCGAAGGGCGUCCAAGGCCUCUGCCUGCUUUCCAGAACGUUUCAAGUUUAAUGCCUUUAAUUUCUCUGCCUUAACCCGCUCUUCCAACUGCUUUCUCUCAUUGGAAGAUUCAUCAGAUACACGUGCUUCAGGUAGUUUUGGCUCUGAUCUUUCAAGGAUUUGAGAGGCAAUAGUGCCAGUUUUAUCAGUAUCUCCACUUGUAGGUUUUCUUGUUUCCUGCCUUUCAGGGACACGGGGUACAACAGAGGUGUCUGCAAUUCCAAUUGCUUUUAAAGCAGAGAAAAGCUGAGGAUCAAGAAAAUCCUCAACACUGACACCCUCUGCUGAUUCAGCUGUGAGGUCAG
rnacentral:misc_RNA from 1 species